CCCGGUGUACAACAACAGAAAUGGCAGGGACUAUGAGAGCUUCCCUCCCCCUCCAGUCUACAGCCCACUACAGGAGCCCCUGCACAGUCCGGAUGUAUACGGAGGGUUACAGCAGUACGGAGCUAGAGACCAAGAGCCCCGCCAACCCCAGCCUCAAUACACUGACACAGAGAGGAAUGUGGAAAUUUUAAACCAUGUGCUGAACGACUGGAGCUCUUCAUGGGGAAAGUAGCUGCUCCUAAUGAAGAGAAGAACAACAAGAAGAAAAAAAGAAGAAAAGCUCAAAGCCAAA